GGGCAUACGCGGGAAUAGCAAGGUCUGCCUUUUAAGCAGAGAGUCGCAGGUUCGAAUCCUGCACGACCCACCA
rnacentral:tRNA from 1 species